GACCCGUGAUCCGGGUUGCGGACAGUGUCUGGUGGGUAGUUUGACUGGGGCGGUCUCCUCCUAAAGAGUAACGGAGGAGCACGAAGGUUGGCUAAUCCUGGUCGGACAUCAGGAGGUUAGUGCAAUGGCAUAAGCCAGCUUGACUGCGAGCGUGACGGCGCGAGCAGGUGCGAAAGCAGGUCAUAGUGAUCCGGUGGUUCUGAAUGGAAGGGCCAUCGCUCAACGGAUAAAAGGUACUCCGGGGAUAACAGGCUGAUACCGCCCAAGAGUUCAUAUCGACGGCGGUGUUUGGCACCUCGAUGUCGGCUCAUCACAUCCUGGGGCUGAAGUAGGUCCCAAGGGUAUGGCUGUUCGCCAUUUAAAGUGGUACGCGAGCUGGGUUUAGAACGUCGUGAGACAGUUCGGUCCCUAUCUGCCGUGGGCGCUGGAGAACUGAGGGGGGCUGCUCCUAGUACGAGAGGACCGGAGUGGACGCAUCACUGGUGUUCGGGUUGUCAUGCCAAUGGCACUGCCCGGUAGCUAAAUGCGGAAGAGAUAAGUGCUGAAAGCAUCUAAGCACGAAACUUGCCCCGAGAUGAGUUCUCCCUGAGACUUAGAGUCUCCUGAAGGAACGUUGAAGACGACGACGUUGAUAGGCCGGGUGUGUAAGCGCAGCGAUGCGUUGAGCUAACCGGUACUAAUGAACCGUGAGGCUUAACCUU
rnacentral:rRNA from 1 species